GUGGGUCAAAUACUUUUUCUUUUGUACGAGAAAGUAGAGUGAAAUUUCAAGGAAAAUAUGAUAUAAUAAAGUAACAGCAGAUAUCCCAAUACAAAAUAACUGUACAAAAAAUAUCAAAGUAUGGUCACUUAAAUUGCCCUCUGUUUCUAUACAGAGGACACAGCCCUAAAAAAAAGAAACAGCUAACUAUCAGCAAGCUAUAUACACCCCCCAACAACUGUAGUCAGUGAAGACAUAAUAAGCUUUGUUCCCAAGUAAGUAACUUGAUGUGACCAGCACUUCCUGUAACUCAAUGAGAUCAUUGCCAGCAACUAGUUAACAGCCUUAUCUACAUUACUAUCAAUUACCCUAAUAAUUACAUCUUCAAAAUCCAAUAAUCCAGUCAAGAGAUUGAAGUCAUGAAAGGUGGAAAGAUCCUUGACCCUCUGUAAUGGCAUACAAGAGCUUCUCUUUCAUCUUUUCCUGAAAUUCAAUGAAGCAUCAGACAAUAUUUAGAUUUUUUUUUUAAAUAUUUGUUUUAAUUGUUUAAGAGUUUAAAACAGAGGAAACUAAUAAGGUACUUUUGACGAAUAAGGAGGUAGCUUAAGGUAAUUUGCACAGGUCAUCACACUAGGUAGGUCUGUGUCUGCUUGGUUGCUACAAUGCUGUUGAAUACACAAGAUUAUAAGAUGUUAGAAAUAAAAAGGACAUUUAAGUGUGUGAAAAUCACAGUGGAAAAUGAGUUUAUCAAUAUAAUCUGUACACCUUUCGGACAAUAGUCAACUUUGGAUUGAGAGAUGCCAAUCCUCCUGGAGGAAGCCGGGGUGUGCCGGUCACAAACUGGAGAAAUGCUCGUCGCUGGCCAUGGUCAAACUCACGAAUAAUUUCCAACAACUGAGCCGUCGAUGACAGAGAUUCAGUCAGAAAAUAAAGUGAUUCAGAACAAGAUCAAAAGUUACAAGUAUGCUUACAUUAACAAUGGGAGGACUGCUAGCAGUGUAACCAUGAUCGAACUUAAUGUGAUCUGACAGCUCAUUGAUCUGCUAACAUGGAAUUAGUACAAUUAAACCCUUUUUUUAAACAAAAAGUUGUUUCCGUUCUGCUCUAAUAGAAAAAGACAUAUACACAAAUUUAUUAAAGUUACACAUACAGCCCAAGAAUCAUCCUCUCCACAAAGUAUACGGUCAAGCUCUUCUUCAUAGAAAAUCUGAAGAUGCUCAAUGGGAAAAACCUACAAGUUUAAAAAAUAAAAUUGAAUCCCAAUGAAGAUAGAUAAAAAAAUUAAUGGACAGUCCUGUAAACAGUAAAUGCCAAAGAAAACUUAAUUUUCAGGACAUUGAUCUUGAUGGCUUGUAAACAGUAAAUGCCAAAGAAAACUUAAUUUUCAAAACAUUGAUCUUGAUGGCUAACAUAUAGACACAAAUAAGAAAUGACUUCGACAGUCAAGACAAACAAUCCCAGUUCUGAUAAAUAUAUUAAACAGAUUUUGCAUUGAAGCAUUCCAGCGCAGAAAACGUAUCUAUCAUACUACAGACAAGUACCCUUUCUCUCUCUCCCAUUUUUCCCCGAGGUACAGAAGCCCGGUUCCUAUGUUAAUCUAUUUUAGCAUUUAAUUAAAAACAUAAUAAAAAUAAGGGCACAAAAUGAAGAACUGGGAAAGGUCGAUGCCAACAUCAGACACAAAGAUGAGCAAUAAACUUUAGCAACUAUGUGCAAUGACUUUAGGAACAUGGGCAAAAAUUAUAAAGCCAGUAAUGGUCUUAAUUCUGAACACCAAAACAGCUGCUCAUAGACCUCAAAUUCUAAACAAGACCACAAAAUGAAGGAACUCUAAACAACAGCAGAUAACACAUUGCAGUAAAAGAUAACAAGGGUUUGUGGAUUUUAGCCUUCUAUCAAGUCAAACUAUUCAAAUGGACAAAACAGUUUCUUAUAUAUAGUUUCUUAGAUAUAGGAGUUAGCUUGAGCUCAUAUUCAUUUUGUUUCUCACGUACUCCCUUUGUCUCAUAAUAACUGUGACGUUUGCAAAAACAACUGUCCCAAAACAAUUGCCAUUUUCAAUUUAACUUUAUUCAUUUCUUUCCAUUUAUAGCCUCUAAUUAAUACUAUGUGCAUAACUCCCAAGCAAUUGUUCUUUACUUUGCAUUUAUGAUAACAAGAAUCAACCAAUAGUUAAUGAGGUUAAUUUAGUUAAAUUGUUAUUCUCUUUCAUUAAUAUAUAACUUCUCCUUAAUUUGUGUGAAGUGGCCCACUAUGACAACUUUUGUGGGACGGCAGUCUGUAAACCCCAACUUUUUGGGAUUUUCUGUUCUCUUCAGAUGCAAUUCUAUCCAACUUCUAUAGUGACAGUGAAUAUAACACAAUCGAAAAGGUUCUUGUGUUAAAAUAUUUCAACUAUUAUCAAGACAAAGUAAGAGACCUGGUUAAAGCCGGAUUUAAAAGCUUCCACUUGUCUUGAAAUUCCAGACUUCACGGUUGCAUCGACAAUGAGUGAAACAUAAUCAUCCAGGUUUCUCAUAUUUACCUGCCAAAAGGAUGGAAAUAUUGAAGUUUUAUACUCUAGCAACAAAAGGGUUAAAACAAAAAAUAUUGCAAUGCAAAAUAUCAAGCAAUAUUUUACCAUGGUGUGAUCAGACCCUGAAGCAAGAACGAUAUCAGGAUACCCAGGAAGAGUAAAAUCAAGACAAAGAUCCUCAAUUCUGGAAUCUCGAAAGCUUAGUCGUUGUUCCAACUCAGAAUUCCCUUCAUAGACCGAUUCCAAAUUUUUUUUCCUGUUAACUAGAGCUUGAAACUCAUGCAGCACCCUACCAAGCUCAGGAUCAAGUGAUUGUAUGUCGUAGACAUAAAGUUCCUAGAAAGAAAGAUUAUAAGCAAAUAAAGAGACUAAGUCAGUUAUAGUGGCCCUCUCAUUAUACAUCUUACUACACUUGCAAGUUCGUGUGAAGUUCAUUAAUUGCACACAAACCAAUUACCUUUCCAAGAAUAAGUUUAUAGAAGGCUUUAGAAAAGUGGAGAUCUAAGACCCUUCCAUCUUGAAGUGCUUUAGCAACAACUUGACCUAAAAGGACAAAUUUCUCUGUUACUUCAGAGAACUGUAUGCCACCAGAUGCAUCUUGCAUUGACAACCAUGGGCGAGGAAAUAGUCCAUACAAAGAAUAAAUUCCUGUUUCCUCAGCCUGCAAGCUUGUCUUGAGUGUAUGUGAAGAAGCAUCCUCUCUCCACAUGCCUGAACCAGACUUUUGCAACUCCUGACACACCAAGGUAUAAAAUUCCAAAGUUGGUCCAAGACCAGUUCCCACUUCUUCAUCAUAUUCCACUUCAAGAACCACUUUAUGACUGGCAUGUAGUUUCAUCAUUUGUGCAGCAGACUCCAAGAUUCGGUCGCGGUAAACUAAGAACUUCUUUCGAGGCAAUACACCAUGGCCCAGUCGCCUGUCACUUACAGCUUCAGAGUUAUGGUAAGAUACGUGAGAUGGUAGUCGUGGCUGACCAAAUGCUGCCAGUUUGAAGUAUUUGCAUCUUGCUUCAAAACUGAAUAGGAAAGGACAAGACGUCAUUAGCUGAUUACACCACAGAGGCAUACUGCCAAUGCAGACUGCCAAAGAGUCCCUCAUUUGUUGCUCCAGCUUCUCUGUCAACUUACUGCUCACAAACUCAUUUAGUUGGACAGUAGGAACUGUUAUUUUUAGGCUAUCUAGAUUAUCAACUUUACCUUCAGCAAAAGCACAAAUUCUUUCACGUGACAUAAGAUGAAAUAUAAAUCUAUUCAUGCCUUCCAAGCUUUUAAGAAGAAACAGAAUAUCAUAAGUUGGACUUGACUUCUCCAAAUCAGAAACAAGUUCACAAUAGAACAUGCCUGAUAAAAAAGGUUUAUGCUGAUAAAAUGCUAAAACUUUAUCACGAGAGAAAUCUUGAGAUGAAGAAUGACAAUCUGAAGGCAUUAUAUCCUCAGGUUUCAAAUCUGUUUUAUAUGUUAACGUAUGCACAUGACUCCACAGUUUUGCACCGAUUCCACUAUCAUUUUGUUUUAUUAUUUGGCGAAGAAUUGCUUGAUAUAGUGUCAAUUUAUGAUCUAGAGGUUGUCCUUCAAGGUAAAAAAUAAGUUUACGAGCAGCUUUGUUGCUACAAGAUGAAAGAUGCUCUUUUUCUAGUUUUGAGUCUGGUUCUGCAACAAAAUGCAUUUCUUCUUCUGCAACCUGUUAGAUAAGACACAAUUUCAAAUAUAUGCAAAAGUGUAACAUUACUAUAAAUGCACUUUGACACAAAUAACAUGCAAGAAUGUUCUGCAUUAUAAUCUAAACUAGAAACAAGAGUAAAACCUGAAUUCCAGAAGAAGAUGAUUCCCCGGCAUUCAAAUUGACUGCUUGAAUUUCAUCAAGGCAGGAACUUGUAUUUGAUGGCAGUUGAAGCGGUGGACUUUCUGGUUGCAACACUACUUGACUGGACGGUAAGCUUCCAUGCUCUUCAUUUUUCUUGCUGACCUUUUGCCACAGAUAUCUUUCAAUGGAGUGCAAAGAUGAAAAAGGGUCGACAGUAAAAAAAUCCUCAGAACAGUCGCUCAAGUAAGUUUCUUUCUCCCCCUUGACAAACCGGACUUUCAGACAAGGAUAAGGAAUACAGCAUCCAUUAGGAACAGUAGCAAAUGAAUUUCUCAUUUUUUGUACAUUGCUCAGAACAAUAGGGAAAGCUUCCAAUGAAGUCAGCGCACUCAGCAGAUUCCUGGUUAAUACAGAAAGGGGUGUGUCGCCGGAUAGAGGCUGAAAGGUACGUAAGCAUACACUAGCAAAAGCCUCAAAUCGUUUUUCUAUGAGAGCAUUAUGACCACAAACACCAUGCACCCUCUUGUUUUCCCCCAUAUAAUGGCCAAGAGAUAAAUAAUUAACAAGUGCUUUUGCAACUCCACUCUCAAUAAAUUCAAAAGUAGAAACUUCUUCCUUGCCAAUAAGCUUGUCCAUAAUUUGAUCUAGUACCUUAUUGAUUUUCUCUUCAUGCACAGCAAGAGCACCUUCAUCAGUAGACAUGCUCAACAAAUCAUUAGACAGUGCUCUGAGAUUCUUCAAAAUAUCAGUCAAUCCUUUCUCAGAAUCAUAUAAUUCUGGUGCUAGGUAUUUUGCUUUAAUAUGCUCUGCCAGAUUAUGAACAGAGUCUUUGUCGAGUUUGCACUUUCUGGCUUCUGAUGAUGUAGGAGAUUGGGCAGAUGAAAAUGUGUAACAUAGGCACUUGAGAACCUCUUUAGAAGCGGACCUUUGACCAGAGUCUAACGACAUCUGAAUGCCACUAAAUACUGGGUACACCAAUUGUGAUGAUCUUUCUGGUUUUAAGAGCGCCUCAAUGGCAAAAAAGACACCCUCCUUUAUAAAUAACUUUAAGAAAAUAUCAGAAAAAUUUUGAAGGAUUAUCUCAGCAAUCUGUAAGGCUAACAAUAGCAUAUGAUGAUCCUUCCGAGUGAAUACUCCAGCCAAAAAACUGACGCAUCAACAAGAUAAAGUCAAAACCUUUAACAAAAGAUAAAUAAUAUCACAGCUCAAAGGAUAAGAAGGCCUGCUUCACCUUGAAAUACUGGCAUUCCUAAGCAGCUCCACAAGCAUGUCAGAUUUGGUCAAACAAACAAACUUGUACAUGAUGAAUAGACAUCCAUGGCAAACAUAUAAACUUGCACCAGAAUUAAACACCUGUGUAAAGAUGAGACAGACAUUUAAUUAUAAUAAAAAUGGAAGAGUAUUGGGUUAACUAUAAGAAAAUCAACUAACCUGGAUUAACAUGGGAAACACAUCCAUCCCAAGCUUCUGCAGGAGAUCUGGAUGAUUAGCUAGGAAGGAUUCUUUGUCCAAAGCUUGUUGGUUACUCUGAUCUUUAUCCAGGCCAGGAAGAAGUUCAUUCAGCAAUUUGAGUACUUCAUAUACCUAGCAAGUCCAUAAACAACAGGAAAACCUUUCACAAUCCACAAUACAAGAAAUCUCACAAAUCACACAAACAAGAACCAAUUAGAAGAAAAACAUUUCCUUGUUUCAGACUGGCACUGCUAGAUAAAAACUAAGAUCAAAACUCAACAAUUGUUACCAAAAUAGUCAUUUUAACUCCAAACGCUUUUAUUGCACAGGUAGAAUAUAACUUGUACCACAAGAAUUUUCAAAUUAAUAGAACAUGUAUAUUCCACAAAAUUACAGAAGCCUAGUCAGAAAUUUAUAUAUUAAAACUGUCCACAUAUGAAACUGGCCAGUGAUAAAAGUGAAUCGUUCAACCCACCAAAUCAAUUAGAAUUAAAAAUGUGUGAUGAAGUUCUGGAAUGCUGAUAAUCAAAUAUAGUGUGUAGUUUGUGUCAUAAAUUAAAAACAUUCAAUAAAUUUGAAACAGAGCAAUUCGGCAAGAACUAUAUUUCAACGAGUCUUUGAAGCCUUCUAGAUACAUUUUUCAGUCAAUUUCCUUAUAAUAAUGUCAAGUUGGACCAUAAAGACUUCCCAACUUAAUACACUGUUCCAAAUGACUUUGAUGGACAUUCAUCUGUGCUUUUAAGUAUAAGGCACACUGGUGGUGCAAGCAGAUGGGUCGGCGAGUUUAGGUGACCGGGUGAAGGACCAAAACUCAGAUAUCCAAUGCCAAUCAAGCUGCAAAAGCUUAUUGACACUGUGUACUCUUUUCCCUAAAUUACUUUUUUUGCUGCCAAGUGAAAUUUAACUCUUAAAAAAGUAAGGUAAGACUUCCUACAACAGACUCACAAUGAAUCAGGUCCUUAGUUAGACCCUGUCAUGACGAAUCUUACUGUAUCAAGUUACUAAGAAUGCGAAGAGAAAGGAUACUUCUAGGGGCUACGUAGGAUAUUGGCUUAAAUUCUCAAAAAUGAACAUGUAAUUGUGGGUUUGCAUUAUUAUUACAACUAGUUAAAAUAUAAAAUACGAAAAAAUUGCCAUUUGCCAAUUACUAGACUCAGUGACUCAUCACAAUUAAAUGGCUAUACUAAUAUAUUCCACUUUAUAAUCAGGAAACUUAUGAAACUCUAUAACUGCACACCAGUAGAAGACAAUAACAGAGACAAAUUGAAAUCUCAUACCCGAUUACAGUGUCCACCAACAAGUUGUGACGUUGAUACACCGUGUGAAAGGUCAAAUGCAGAUAAUAUCUCUCUCAAUAUGCUGCUUAUAUUUAGCUCAUAUAAAGUCCUGAAGGCUACGACUGAUCCCGAUGAAAGUUUGACAAGUAAUCCUAUCAAUCCCUGUCAAAGCAAAAUAAUAGAUUCAUAAUUUCAUAACAUCAAAGUUCACGCAUAAUAAAAAUGGAGAAUGUUAGAGAUAGUUGGUAAACUAUCAGAUUGUAAUUUCUAUUCUAAAGCUGUAACUAACUUGCUGAGCUGUAUAUAGAGAGAGAGAUCUAGAGUAUUCUUAUCAUCAAUGAAUACACAAUAUGAAAUUAUGAUCUAAGCAUAACAGAAUUCCAUCACUGUUUUUCUAUUAUUCUAUCAUGGUAUCUAGAGCUUCUUUCUCGAUCCGUUAACCUGCUUCCAUGGAGAAUUCACCUCCGUUCAUCAAUGAGGGUUCGUUUCCCUCUUCUCAUGUCAAACUUUCGCAUCUCAUCUCUGUUAAACUUGAUGACAAGAACUUCAAGCAGUGGAAACAACAAAUUGAUGGAGUAAUUCGAGGUCACAAGCUUCAGAGAUUCAUCACGGCGCCUGUGAUUCCUCAGCGCUUUCUCCCCGGAGCUGAUCCUGUUGCCGGCGGUGCUAAUCCUGCGUCUUGACUGGGAGCAACAAGAUGCACUCAUUUGCACCUGGCUUCUUUCUACCAUCUCCGAUUCGCUUCUUCCGAAGCUCGUUGAUUGUACGUAUUCAUGGCAGGUGUGGUCAGAGGUUCAUCGGUACUUCAACACCUUGCUUACAACCAAGGCGCGACAACUUCGAUCCGAAUUGCGAAGUCUUACGAAAGGUUCGCGCACGAUAGAGGAUUUUGUUGUUCGAGUUCUUAAAAUCAGUGAGUCUCUGAUUUCAGUUGGCGAUCCCGUACCUCUUCGUAACCUAACUGAAAUAGUCCUUGAUGCGCUUCCUGAGGAAUAUGUUCCGAUUGUUACUGCUGUUAACAGUAAAGAGGAUCUUUGUUCGCUUGAUGAAAUCGAAUCUUGUUUACUUGCACGUGAAUCACGCCUUGAGAAGAAUAGGAAAUCUGUUCUUACUAAACCUGUGUCUGUGAAUCUUACGCAUCUAUUGCUUCCCCUAGCCCUCCCAGUCCUAUGUUUAGUUCUGAUUCACCAAGUACCUCUCAGCCUACCUCUCCCUCACCAGCUCCUGCUUUCUCUGAUCUAGCUGAAGCUAGUACUAUGUCACCUUCAUCCUCCACUGACCAUCUCUCAGUUGUCAGUCCUGCCCCCACUCCUCCUCCUCCCUCUGCACCUUUAAUCAACCCUCUCUAUGUUCAUGCCAUGCAAACUAGGGCCAAAAGUGGGAUCAUUCAACCUAGACUACAUCCAACUCUUCUUACUCACAUGGAACCUACCUCUGUUAGUCAAGCUUUGGUUGCACCUCAUUGGUUUCAGGCUAUGCAAGAUGAGUAUCAGGCCUUUUUGAAGAAUCAGACCUGGACUUUGGUGUCACCAUCUGCCACUAAGAAGCCCAUUGGCUGCAAAUGUGUGUUUAAGGUGAAGGAGAAUCCUGAUGGCUCUAUCAACAAGUACAAAGCCAGACUUGUUGCCAAAGGGUUUCAUCAGCAGGCUGGUAGUGAUUUUACUGAAACUUUCUCCCCUGUUGUAAAGCCUGUCACGGUCAGAACUGCUCUGACACUUGCAGUCACAAACAGGUGGACAAUUCAGCAAAUUGAUUUGAGGCCUUUGAUAAAACUCUUGUUUGCAGGCUCAACAAAGCCUUAUAUGGGCUUAAACAGACACCUAGGGCCUGGUUUGACAAACUCAAAGGGUCCUUGUUGCAGUAUGGGUUUCAGGCUAGCAAGUGUGACCCAAGUUUGUUUCUAAUGCAUACAAGCAGUCUCACUAUUAUGAUUUUGGUCUAUGUUAAUGAUAUAAUCAUCACUGGGAAUUCCUCAUCCUUUAUCAAGAAUCUUAAUGCUAAGUUUGCUCUCAAAGAGCUGGGCACCUUAGACUAUUUCUUAGGGAUUGAAAUCACUCAUUUACCAAAUGGCUCCCUUGUUUCUCUCACAAACCAAAUCUGUGAGUGAUUUACUUGCUAAAGUAAAUAUGUCUACUGCCAAGGGGAUGCCUACUCCAAUGCUUUCUAGAAGCAAACUUUCCAGAAUUUGAUCUGAUACAGUCUCUGAUCCCACUCAGUUUCGCUCAAUUGUUUGAGCUCUUUAGUAUGCUACUUUAACUAAGCCUGAAAUAUCUUUCUCUGUUUUUUAUCUAAUCCCUUGGAGGAACAUUGGAAAGCAGUGAAAAGAAUACUCAAGUAUUUCAACGACACUCUACACUAUGGGCUUCUCAUUCAACCUGCUUCCAUUCAUCAACACCUCUGUCACUUACUGCGCAUCAUAUCCUGAUGACACAACCUCAGGAGCAUGUGUGUUUUUAGGUCCCAACAUUAUAUCUUGGUGGUCCAAGAAGUAGCCAUUGGCGGCAAGAUCCAGUGCAGAGGCAGAGUAUAGAAGCAUGGCUCAACUUGGUGCAGAGAUGCUUUGGGUUCAGUCUCUUCUCAAUGAACUUCGCCACAAGUUUCAGACCCCACAGAUUCUAUGUGACAACCUCAGCACAGUGGCUCAUGUGCCUGCUCAGGAUCAGUGGGCCGAUGCCCUGAUGCCCUGACUACACCUCUUCCUCUUCGUGACAAGCUUAGGGUAUUUAAUAAAAAGAGCUUGCUUAGCACACCCUCGGCUUCUAAGGGGAGAUGUUAGAGAUAGUUAGUAAACUAUCAUAUUGUAAUUUCUAUUCUAAAGUUGUAACUAACUUGCUGAGCUAUAAAUCAGUUAGUUACUCAAAGACUCUAUAUAUAGAGAUCUCUAGAGCAUUCUUAUCGUCAAUGAAUACACAAUAUGAAAUUCUGAUCUAAACAUGAUAGAAUUCCCUAACUUUUUUCUAUUAUUCUAUCAGAGAAAUAUAGGAUAUGAAAAUAGCAUAGAAAAAAUUGCUUACAUUAUAAAUUAAUUGGGAUAGGCUCGCUCGGCCAUUUAUACUUAAAAGAUGUGUGACCUGUUGAAUCAAUCCAUGCUUACAAAGCUCAUCCAACAUUUCUGAGGAAGGAGAAACUCGAUCAACAAUUUUGAUUAAGCAGGUAGCAACGUUUUCAACAAGCUGUGAAAGUACAUUUUCACUUCAGUAAACAAUACAAAGAAGGAAUUUAAACACAUUAAAAAUACAAAAUAAUAUCUAAAGUUUAUUCAUCGGCACCUGUCGAUCCUCAUAUAGAAGAAGAUUGCAUAAUAUUGGCACAGCCUCCAUGAAAGGUGUGGGGCUUUCAGAAGGAAGCUUCUUGCAUAUGUUCACCACAGUAGAAAGAGCAACUCUCUGAGGGAAAAGAGAGAUUAGUAAAAUGAGAGUUGUUUUUCACUUCUCUAAUAAACCAUCAAUACUUCUGAAAGAUGAUGCCUUUGUAUUAGAUGCUUACCUGUAUGCUUGUUGAGAAGAAAUCAAUAUAAUUUAAAACAGCCAUAAUUGCUCCGGCCUGUAAGCAAGCAAGUGGUUGUUCUCGCGAUAUUUUCUCCAAUGCUUGAAGACACUGUAUACAUACAAUAUCAAUAACUUAUAUUCCUUUCAGCCUUAUAAAAAACAAUACAAGAAAAACAUAUCUUACAAACAAAGAAGUACCAAUUACCUGUUCAGCCACGUCUUGAUACUCGAUCGUCAGUAACCUUUGACAUAAAGCAGAAACAGCAUCAUGACGAACAAGAAAACCAGCUGACCGAGGAUACAGAUCACAUAUAUAAGUAAUAGCCCUUAUAGAAAACAACAUUAUAUCCGGGUUACUCUCAUGCUUUGCCAGCUUUACAAGUAGUGGUGAUAACAAGUCUGAAGUCAUGCUGGAGAGCGAACCCUCUGUACAAAACGACAAAACUUCACAGAGCUCGGUAAGUACAGCCAACUGACCAGAAGGUUCAGUCUGUCCACUCAAGCUUGAUAUAAUGUUCUUAAAUUUUCCAUGAUCACUAGAUAGUCUCCGCCUAUGAUAUUCGUGGAGACUGCUAUGAUAGUGUUCCAUGUCAUCUGAAUCACAUGAUCCAUAAGCUGAAUCCUUCUCUGGCUCCCCUUCUGAUCGGCUUGAAGCCGAAGCAGACGAGGAAGUAUCCAUGUCAUUAUCAUGGGGCUCCACCUCCGAGUGUGUUGAAUUCAUAUCGGUUUGAACCGAGGCAGUUGAAGAACUAGGUCUAAAAUCGAACGAACUGCACGCCCUCUUAUCAGCAGGCAGUUCAUCUACCAUUUCUGGACGCUUUUGACCUCUACUUCCCAUUAAUUUCUUCUACUCCCCAAUUGGAAAUCGAACCCUGCGCAGUUAAAAAUCACAUCAUUUACCUACAUUAAUAUAAUAUAAUUCCUAAUCAAACAAAGCCCAAAUAAGCCAGAAUUCCAAACCAAAAACCCACGUCGUUUUCGUUCUUUUUAGGAAGGAAAAUAAAAAGGAAAGUUUACAACUCCAAUCCGAAACAACCAAACACUUCAAUCAAUCAAAGCUUUCCUCAAAUAUAAACAGCACAAGUAACAAUUUUUCAUGAUUUUCAAGUUAAUCAGUCAUUAAUCUCCAUAACUCGCCAUGAAAAAAAAAACAUACUACAACCAAGUGUGUUGAUGAUGCAUUCUCAUAACAUCAUAAUAACAUUACAAACCACAUUAGAAUCCAACUAUGUAGCACCGACACUUCUCGAAAAAAGCGUGUCCGUGUCCAUGUCUAUGUCUAUGUCGCACACCUGCACCGACACUUGUGAUUAAGUUUAAUUUAUUCAUUAUUUAAAAUAUGUACCGGUGUCGCCGUGUUAGUGUCGGGGUCGUGUUCGGGGUCUUCGUGCUUCAUAGGAAUCCAAAGACUAAAUCAGAUUAAACCUGAGUCUCAGACUAAACAAAUCAAACACAACAGGUUCCAUCAUUGACUUUAACAAUAUUAGUGCAUCACAAUACACGAUUAAAAACAUCACAAACUAGAAAAACAAAAAGGAACAAAAACAAUCACAAUAACAAAAACAUAAUAAACAGAAACAGAAACACAUAAUGAGAUUAAAAAAAAGGAACAGAAUCAGUGAAAAACAGAACAUAAAGACACAAUCAAAGGAAGCAUAAAACUUCAAACAAAACAGAUGAAAUACCUAGUUAUAGUUCUUAAUCGGUCUUCGAGAAAGUCGAAGACCAAUUCUAUGUAUCAACAAGUAAACGAUUUUAUGAUGAAUUUAAGAAAACGCUUUCCUUCUUCGUUUCACUUUAUCAUCAUCAUCGCCAAAUUGUUUUUCUGCGAUAUAGAAAAAAAAUACAAUAAGCGAUUGAAUUGAUGUGUGUAUAUUCAAAAGGAAAAUCGAUAAUCAAUGAUAAAUAAAUAAAAAAAGAGAAUAAGAAAUUGAAGAAAACCAGAGAGAGAGGAUGAUUGCACAAGGAAGAAAACUUGAUAGAUACAAUACAAAAGGGUGGUGGUGAUAGUGUAAAUAUUUAUGUGGGUGAUUAAUUUGGUUAAUUACCAAUUAGUGUCCUUGAUAAUUCUUGUUACUUGGAAUGAUGUGGUGCUUAUGAGGUGUGUCAAGCUUGAUGCAAUCCCUCAAUCAAUAAUAAAUCCUUGUUUUUGUGAUCGUGGAUAUGAUUUAGAGGUUACUUAGGUGUUGUUGCUUUAUAUUAGGUUACCACAAGCUUAACAAGGAAGCAAGAGUUUAAUAAGGUAAAAUAACUUUGUAAUGUUAUUACUAAAAUGUGGGUAAAUUAACUUUAUAAUGUUAUUAAUAAAUUAAAAUAUAUAAGUUGUUAGUCGAAAUCAAUGUGCGAAUGACGUUAGGAUAACUUAAAUUCUAGCCGAAAAUAACCUCUGAAUGACGUUAGGAUAACUUAAAUUCUGGAUAGUUAAAUAUACGUUUCGUUGAAACGGGAAUAGAUAGAGUUGAUAUAAUCGACUUUUUUGUAAUUUCUGAAGGUUUCAAGAUAGUCAAAUGUGUCAUAAUGGGUCAAACUUGUGGUUGACAGAUAACUCGGCAUCAAUUGUUUCCUUUCUAUCUUAAAGUGAAAAGAUGACAAAUACAAAUAAAAUAUAUGAAGUGUUGUUAGAGAGAAGUUGCGUGAAAUGGUAUACAAAUGAGUUGUAUAACAUGAAAGAUAAACGUGAGGCAAGUGUCGUUGCAUAUACGGAUGAAGGGUCAUAUUUUCACACUGGUUCACGCGAGUGUAACCAAAUAACGACAAUAAGUGUGCAAUCUUGGUUGGCCAUAAUUAUAAUACUCCAAGGAGUUAAAUGUAUGGAUUUUUCAAUUUGGGCAUUAACAAUUGGUAUUGAAUACAUGAAACUAGCAUACCUAAUAUAUAACUUGUAACUACAUAACAUUGUAUGAGAUAAAUUAGCUGUAGAAGUUUACAACGAAGUAAUAAUUCACUCUAAAAUGCAAAGUAUAUAACAUAACAACUAUAGGACAUCCACUUUAAACAACUUUCUCAUUGUCUUUGUGUGUUACUUGCUCAUCUGAAAAAGAAUAACUUGUGGGGUGAGAUAUAUAAAUCUCAGUGGACUCCUAACUAAAAUCUCGAAGCACUCUGAGAUUUGACUAAUCGGUACGAAGUACGAGUUGAUGCAAA
rnacentral:lncRNA from 1 species